rnacentral:lncRNA from 1 species
UUAACUUCUUCCCUUACUCUUCACAAUGUGCUUCUGGUUCCUUCCUUUAAACACAACUUGAUUUCUGUUCACAAGUUGAUAAAACAAUUGCACUGUAUAUUUUUGUUUACUCCAACUUCCUGUUUACUUCACAUGAUACAAAACCCUUCUCUGAAGAGGCCCCUGGAUCUUGGUAAAGAGGAAGCUGGCCUAUACAAACUGUCUUGGGUGCCAUCUUCCCCCUCU